UACGGAGGGUGCAAGCGUUAAUCGGAAUUACUGGGCGUAAAGCGUGCGCAGGCGGUUUGUUAAGUCCGUUGUGAAAUCCCCGAGCUCAACUUGGGAAUUGCAAUGGAUACUGGCAAGCUGGAGUAUGGUAGAGGAAGGUGGAAUUCCCGGUGUAGCAGUGAAAUGCGUAGAUAUCAGGAGGAACACCGAUGGCGAAGGCAGGUCUCUGGGCUGACACUGACGCUCAUGCACGAAAGCGUGGGGAGCAAACAGG
rnacentral:rRNA from 1 species